rnacentral:misc_RNA from 1 species
AACGCACGAGACCUGCGGACCUGCGGAGGGAUCAUUAUAGGAAAAUAAUAAUAUAAUAAGUUGUGGGGGGACAAAGUGUGAGGGGGGAGUGCAUACUCUGCACUUCUUUUUUUCGCUGUUUCCUUGCUUCUUCAAACAAACUAUCGCAACUAUUAUUAUAACAGAGAGGGGGGAUUGUGAUGACUUGGUUUUUUUCCCAGUCAAACAACAAAAGCUAAUAUCUGAAUUGCUGUAUGUGUG